ACGUUUCUGUGAUUUUGAUGUACUGAACAAUUAUAAUCUUGUCAGAUUUUCUUUGGGAAAGAUUAUUAUUAUUUGGACGCUUGAAAAAGUAAACGUUUGUCUGCCGAAGACAAUCACGUGGUUUAAGGCCAUGUGCUUCCCUAGUAUCAACAGUGCCGAGGACGGCGCCAGUGAAAGGCAGGCGGUUUACCGGAGCAACAAAGGGUCUUGAUUUUUAGAGGCAUGCAGGUUUUAAAGAAAGAAAACAGUGUUAUAAAGAAAGAAAAAGAUUGCAGAUUACACCGAGGGUUCGGGAACCAUAAAUUUUAUGUUGGAGUUUGAACUUCACCCUGAUAGACUUUGAGCACAUCAUAAGUUUUAGACCUAUGGACGAAAAUCUGGCAGUUGGAUGAUAAGGAAAACACAGCCGUGAUAAAUAUCAGAGAAAUCUCCUUAGAAGAGUGUGCCGGUCUGGACAAAAAGUUGCAAUGUGAAUAACUUGGAAGAAAAAAGAGUCUUGUCAAAUUUCAGAGAAUUCUUGAUGAAAGAUUGCAUGUGUUGUUCCAGUUCCAUGAACUUUGUCUUUUUAACAUUAUUUAACACUUCAUUUGAAAUGAUGCAUUUUUGAUACAUUUUCAUUAUUGAAAUAUUUACAUUUGAUACUCUAUUUAACCAGUGGGCCAAGAAAGG